GUGCGCGACCCCGAGCUGACGCGCGGCCCUGUUUCAGCUCCGAGGGCGGUGUGACGCGCUGCGGCGGCGGUGUUCGCGAGCUGAGAGGCGAGACGAAGUUCAGGGUAUUUUGGGGGGAAUUUGGAAGAUUUCCGGACACUGCGCUGGCUGUAAGCGGCGCACUCAGCUCCUGGCUCCGGCGGGCUCCCUGCACACCAGCACCGUUACUCGGGCCACGGACACGGCAUGGACACCGGGGGGCCGCUGGAGCGCUGGGGCGCUGAGGAUGAGCUGCAGUGGAGGAGGGACGGCCUGGAUCUUCCCCCAGACCGUGAGUAGGGUACAGGGGCAGAGGGGGAUUCGCGGGGUCUUCACCUUGCAGUAGGGGGGCAAU
rnacentral:lncRNA from 1 species